rnacentral:tRNA from 1 species
GUAGACUUAGUUUAACUAAGACAUUAGAUUGUGAUUCUAAGAAUAGAGGUUAAAAUCCUCUAGUCAACC